GCCUCUUUAGUCCAAUUGGCAGAGACACUUGAUUCAAACUCAAGGUGUUGUGAGUUCGACUCUCACAGGAGGUACCA
rnacentral:tRNA from 1 species